UACAGAGGGUGCGAGCGUUAAUCGAAAUUACUGGGCGUAAAGCGUGCGUAGACGGUCAUGUAAGUCGGAUGUGAAAGCCCCGGGCUCAACCUGGGAAUUGCAUUCGAGACUGCAUGGCUUGGGUGCGGAAGAGGGAAGCGGAAUUUCCGGUGUAGCGGUGAAAUGCGUAGAUAUCGGAAGGAACACCAGUGGCGAAAGCGGCUUCCUGGUCCGACACCGACGUUCAGGCACGAAAGCGUGGGAGCAAACAGG
rnacentral:rRNA from 1 species